rnacentral:rRNA from 1 species
AUUGAACGCUGGCGGCAUGCUUUACACAUGCAAGUCGAACGGUAACAGGCCGCAAGGUGCUGACGAGUGGCGAACGGGUGAGUAAUGCAUCGGAACGUGCCCAGUCGUGGGGGAUAACGCAGCGAAAGCUGUGCUAAUACCGCAUACGAUCUAUGGAUGAAAGCGGGGGACCGUAAGGCCUCGCGCGAUUGGAGCGGCCGAUGUCAGAUUAGCUAGUUGGUGGGGUAAAGGCCCACCAAGGCGACGAUCUGUAGCUGGACUGAGAGGACGACCAGCCACGCUGGGACUGAGACACGGCCCAGACUCCUACGGGAGGCCGCAGUGGGGAAUUUUGGACAAUGGGCGCAAGCCUGAUCCAGCAAUGCCGCGUGCAGGAAGAAGGCCUUCGGGUUGUAAACUGCUUUUGUACGGAACGAAACGGCCUGGGUUAAUACCCUGGGCUAAUGACGGUACCGUAAGAAUAAGCACCGGCUAACUACGUGCCAGCCGCCGCCGUAA